UCCACUCUACCUCUCUUCUUCCUCUUCCAACGAACUUUACUCUCUCAUCGUCUCUACAACUCCAUAAAUCCUUCUCUCAUCCAUCUCUUAAUUGCUCUCUAUGAUUCAGUGCUUGCUCUUUCUUUCUCUCUCCUUCUUAUCAAAUUGAAAUCAAAAUCAAGGUUUCAUAUUAAAGAUCGAAGAAAAAAACCAGGUAUCUAGAAUCAAAGGUGAUUUAUUUUUUUUUUUUUUUUUUGUUUUCUUAUCUUGUUAAUUUUAUUAUUUUUCGAGAGUUUUUGUAAGGGUGGAGAUUUUCUGUAGGGUUUUCUAUGAAGAUUGGACUUUAAUCCGUUGUUCUAAUUUGUUGUAGAAAAUUCAGUUGGAUUUCUUCAAUUGGGGUUGGAUUUAAUCAAUUGGGGUUUGUUGUGCUUCGUAAGGUAAUUUCUUAUUUCAAUUUCAUCAUUUUAUUCCCAACCUGCAUUUUAUUUGUUAGUAGAAGAAUAUAAUCAUAUUAUUGUUACCAUUGGAAAAAAAAUGAGUUGAUUCAACCACUUUUAGAAGUAUCUACUGUGAUUCUAUUAUAUUCCUUACCAAAAUAAAUCAAUUAGAUUGUUGUUCAAGUUAUUAAGAUAGGUUGCUUUCUGUGCUUCCAUUUUAAUCAAAUUAUUUCCUCUAUAAUGGUUGUUUGUUCAUCUUAGUUUGACACAAAAUUUGUUAUAUAAACCUGCUAUACUGUUGUUUGUGAUGAAAAUUUAAUUUUGGAAGUUCGUUAUUCUUUGUUGUAGUUGCACUUGGUGUUGUUGCUAUCAAGUAGUUGAUAUGAUACUCAUUCAUAAUCUAUUCAUGAUUUGUUACUUUAAGGGAAUUAUUUCGUUUUUAUGAUAUGUACAAAGAUAAUAUUGCAUUGCACGCAUGGGAAUUUCUCUUUAUCCUGCAUUAAAGAAAAGUUUAUAGAAUUAUACAUGACCUGUGAGCUAUUUCGAUAAAGAAAGCUCUAAGUGCCAAGGUGGCUAAACCGAGCCUCAACACGACACGUCAAUUGAUUAGGACAUGAUUAAUUAUGAUAAUGCAUUACAAUCAUACAAUAUACAGUGGGACUCCCCUUCGAUCACACAUGAUCAACUACUCUAGAGAGCGACCUAUUUUGAAGAGAUAUCCGACUUGGCCCUAUUACACACUCUAAAAAUAUGAUCUAUAGUCCCACUGGAGUAGAGGGACAUGGUCUUCAUAAUCUCCAAAACAAAGUGCCUAUAAUACAAAGGAGGUUUUUCCCGGUCAUUAAGAAUGUUGGUUGCUCUAAGGGAAUCAGUUCCCACUAAUAUAUUCCUUGAGUCCAAAACAAUUCCCUCCUUCAGAUACACAUCUAUUGCCUUAAACUCUAGUAAUGAUUGAAUUGGAGGUUUAACACUGCCAUGAUUAUCUUCGAAGAGUCUUCCAUAUCCACUUAGUUCUUUGCUCACAGAAUUAUCAAAAUUAAGGGAAAGGACUGAUGGUGGAGCUCUGCAUCUCAGUAAGACGAGUAAGGUAUGUCUAAUGGUUACUAAUUCAUUAAUUAUUGAUCUUUUCAUAUAGUGCAUAUCGUAUAUUUUUGAGUUUAACUUAACGAGUCUUAUUUUCCCAUUUAAAUUUGACUUUAAAUCCAUACCUAAAAAAUAUGUGGCAUAUAUAGAAUUCUUCACUACCUCAACUGAUUCUUAUGCUUGGCAGUGUACUAUUAAUCUAAAUGUUCUUUUCUCUAGUUGCACUUGGUUUUGUUGUAUCACGUAGUAGUUAUUAAGGUUUUUGGUAAAUCUAGUUUUUUUUUAUCAUAUCAAUGAUGAAUGGUCAUCUACACUAUUAAAACUCUGUUAAAUGUAGUCCAUAGACUUUCUUUCUCUGAACAUUUUUUUUGUGUGCCCUAACCCUGGACUGCUAGGUCUAUUGUCUUUAUAUGGGUUGGGUUGUGUGAUCUGGAUUUUUCUGCUAGGUGUUGCAUAUUAAUUUGAUAUAUUGAAUUAUUUUGUUAUUAAUAUUAAUUAUUUUGUGUGUGCAUGUGUAUAUAUAUAGUAUUGCAGAAUGUCGUUACCACCUAAAAAAGACUGUAUGCGUGAAACCAAUAGAUUGAGUGAUGUGUAUUUAAAUGGAGUUUUGAAGAGUUCGUAGAAUUUGCACUAGCACACAACACUGAGAACCUAACUACAUGUACAUGCCCCUGUAAGAAAUAUUGCAAUGGGACUAAGGUGAAGUUUACAGAUUUAAAUACCCAUUUGAUAAGAAACGUGUAGACCCAAUAUAUACUAUAUGGUAUUUUCAUGGUGAAACAACAUCCGAUCAACAUUGAGUAGUAGAAAAUGAAAACAUUGAGGAAGAUGUCAUUGAUGAUGGAGGGCAUGGCAGACUUGGUAUGUGUUUUUUUUUAUUUUUAAUUUAUCUAAUCCCUUUUUAACUCCGCCAAAGCAAACUUAUGAAAACCAUUGCUUUGCCGGUCCCAAGCCCGGACAAAGGAAGAGGGAAAAGCGUAAUAUUAUUGUUAAAUAAGUAUUUAGUUGAAUUGUAAUAUUGUAGUCUAAUUGUAUUAAAAACUAACUUGGCUUUGUUUCUUACACAGACUGCACAUGGUACAAGAUACAAGCGUGAGUAGUGGAUGGUACUAAUUCAUUGCAAUGCAUGUACAGUGUUGUACAUUACAUGAUUCUUUCCAGGUAUGGUCAUAUCUGGAAGUGACAAACAGUUUUUUUUACCUUUGUUAAUUAGGUGCCAAGUUGCUACUUAUGUUGCUCUAAGCACUUCAGACAUUGUCUUUGCAGAACCUGGUCUAUGUGUUGUGUUAACAAGCAGAGUUAUUUUCUACCAUAUAGGCAUGCACGUCGUGAAUCGCCUUAUGCAAACGGGUAUGGUUUUGCUUCAUGUGUUUUAGAACUUUUUCUUUUCCUUCCCAUUCUUUUGGCUAAUGUAUUUUUACCUACUAAUCACAUGGCUUUUGGAUAAAGCAUUUUAUAUACAGAACUGUACUGAGAAUAUCCCCUGUCAGCCCUGAACAUGUAUCCCAAAGUGGCAGAGUUCUAAAAAUAUUGUAAAGUUUGAACUUCAACCCAAUUUGAAAGAGACAACUUUUCCAGGCUCCAAGUCUGGUAUUGCCCUCAAUGCAACAAUCAUGUCUGUUCAUUGUCUGUUGACAUUUGACAAUAAGCCAUUGUAGAACCACAUGUUUGUCGUAAAUUGGGACUUCAAUGUAGGGCUUUUACAUGGAAAAUUAGUUUUCACCUUUCGGUGUCUCAUUCAUUGUGUAUUCUAGACUUAUAGUUUAAAACUUAAUUCUUUUUUACCUACGCGUUUAUCCUCAUAUUCCAUGUCUUGAUUGACAGAGAUCGUUAUCAGAGCAGGAGCUAAAGAAGUCUUUGUUGGCAGCAGAAUGCAUGCAUCAUCAAAACAUUCUGGUCUUAGUAGGAUUGAUUCACAGAAGGAUGUUAUAUUUGUUGGUGUUUGAAACAUGGAAUGUUUAGACCAUUGGCUUUUGACUUGGGUAAGUGGCUUCUUCAAAAGAGUCUAUAACUCACUUUUGUCUGGGCAUACUCUCCUCUACUGUUGACUUGGAGAGGUUACCUUCUUUCUUAAUAUUUCUAUUGUCUGCUAUAUAUACCUGUGGCAUAUACAACUUUCAGGAUAAUAAGUGAUUUGGAGUAAUGCUUUAGUAAUCUUACUUAAUACUUAUACCUUUUGUUUGUUGUGAGGUGCAGUUCUGCUAAAAUGGCACCAAUCAGACUUUUCUGCUACUUAACUGAACAUCGGUUUACCUGCAUCUUUGCUUUACUACAUGCGCUUGUUGCUUGACGUGAACAUCAAAACUGCACCUGGAUUUAUCUGCAAAUCUGCACGUCAUCUAUGUGUUGUUCCUCGUGCUUUUGUUACUCGAGUCAAAUGUUAAAACUACAAAAGCCUGUGUGUAAGCUACAUCAUUAGUUGUGUCGAGUAUCAGUUCUCCAGGUUUGUUUUUCUUGUAUUUAUGCAUUGAAGGAAAUGGGCCCUAUGUUUGUUUCUCUUGUCUUGAUGGCAUGUUUUGUAUAGUUAAAUAUGUGAAACAAUAAUCUUUAUUGUCCUUAGGGUUGUGGCUAUUGUGCCUGAUACCUGUUAUGAUUCAUAUGUUUAACGCUUGCAUCAAUGUUGUUUUGGUACAUUGUAUCGUUAGCUAACAUGAACCCCAUGCUCCCACAACGAAUCUUCUGUCUACCAGUUGGUUGGUUUCUUAAAAUAUAUGUAUUUUUGUUAACACAAACAAAACUUUUGGAAUUUGUCAAUGGAACUAUUGGAUUGCAG
rnacentral:lncRNA from 1 species